ACAGGAGGAAGAUGGCAGAAGCUGUUCAAAAUCACGUGAAAUCCUUGAACUGGGGCCACCGUGUCCAGCUUCAGGACAGAAAAGUCAAGUACUUUAACAUCAAAGCCAGCUUUGUUGACGAGCACACGGUUUGCGGCGUUGCCAAAGGUGGGAAAGAGAUUCUGCUGUCAGCCGAUCACAUCAUCAUUGCUACUGGAGGGCGGCCAAGAUACCCCACGCACAUCGAAGGUGCCUUGGAAUAUGGAAUCACAAGUGAUGACAUCUUCUGGCUGAAGGAAUCCCCUGGAAAAACGUGGAGUCUCACUCUGUCGCCCAGACUGGAGUGCAAUGGCGCAAUCUUGGCUCACUGCAAUCCCUGCCUCCCAGGUUCAAGUGAUUCUCCUGCUUCAGCCUCCAAAGUAGCUGCAAUUACAGGCGCCCACCACCACA
rnacentral:sRNA from 1 species